AUAUGCUGCAAGUGUGUCCCUAAAAGACAAAAAGACCGAAAACAAAUAAAUAAAUGGACUUGCAAAAUUCUUCUGCUGAAUGAUUGCCAAUGUAUGUAAACUUUAAUCUUCAAUUCUCUUCAGCUUAAACUUUAAUAAGAACUAACCGCCUUUUCCACGCUUCUUUUUAUAUAUUGGGUAGGUCACUAGUGACCAGGUAAUUCAUGACCAGGGAAAGACAAGUAGACCACCUAAAGGUUUGUGGGGAGCCAGACUUUUUCUCAUCUUUGCAUAUGACACGUGGGCUAUGAACAUAACAAGCCCUGCUUCCUGUCUGGGGGAGUCACACAGGAACCCAGGGACUAUGUAUAUGAGCCGCCAGACACUCCAAGACACUGAACGCUCAGCCUGAGGCACAACGAAACACACUUGUGCAGGGGAAUCUGUGCCACAUGCCGCUCUCCAGCCUGCUCUGGCUCUUCCUGGCCUCCGUCUUCUCUGGAUCCGGCAUGGCCCAGAAAGUUACUCAGGACCAGUCAGCUGUGUCUAGGAGAAUGGGGGAGGCAGUCACCCUAAACUGUUGGUAUGAAACAUCUCAGAGUGCUUACUACCUUUUUUGGUAUAAACAGCCUCCCAGUGGAGAGAUGAAUUUCCUUAUUCAUCAGUAUUCCAGUAAACAGAAUAAAAGGGAUGGCCGCUACUCCGUAAACUUCCAGAAAGCACAAAAUUUCAUCAGUCUCACCGUUUCAGUCUUACAACUAGAAGAUUCUGCAAUGUACUUCUGUGCUCUCCGAGAUCUCACGGUGCUUGAAGUAAUAGGAAAAGCUGAACAAAAACCCCAGAGCUCAAUAAGAGAGAGCCCCCCUGCUGCAGGACCCAAGCUGAUAUGCACACCUGCAGACCCCAGACAAGAAGUGGUUGUCCUGUGGUUGCUUCAUCUGUGGUCUGGAUGAGAAGAUUUCUUUCUAAAUAAAAGCUCCUUUUAGGUCAUUUGGAAGCAGGUUUCCCAAGUAUCUUUCUACUAAUACAUUCUCCAUCUUGAAUUUUUUGCUUUAAAUCCAUCAUAUAAAACUUGCAUAAACUUGUCAAA